AAUGAACGUUAGCGGCGCGCCUGAUGCAUGCAAGUCGAACGGUCUAUUGUUUCGCAAGAAGUAAUAGAUAGUGGCGAACGGCUGAGUAACGCGUAAGUUACCUACCUCUAAGUGGGGAAUAACCUGUCGAAAGGCAAGUUAAUACCGCAUGUGCUAACCUGUGAAAACUUGUUAGUAAAGCUUUCGGGUGCUUGGAGACGGGCUUGCGUAUGAUUAGCUAGUUGGUUGGGGUAAUGGCCUACCAAGGCGAUGAUCAGUAGCUGGUCUGAGAGGACGACCAGCCAGACAGGGACUGAGACACGGCCCUGACUCCUACGGGAGGCAGCAGCAAGGAAUUUUGCGCAAUGGGCGAAAGCCUGACGCAGCGACGCCGCGUGAGGGAUGAAGGCCUUCGGGUUGUAAACCUCUUUUCUUGAGGAAGAAUUAUGACGGUACUCAGGGAAUAAGUCUUGGCUAACUACGUGCCAGCAGCCGCAGUAACAC
rnacentral:rRNA from 1 species